UUGAAGUUGUAAUUUACAAAUGAUACAAUGUCUGCAAUAACAACCAGAUCUUCAUGCCUAUUAUGUACGUAGGCUGCUUAUUCGUCAGUGUCAUCUUUCACCACUUGCUGUCAUUAUAUUUUUUUUCAUUAGUAUUUCUCAUGCAACGUUACUUAUUAGUUAUCACCUCUCUAUAUGGUGCCUGCAGGCUGCAAAUAUCAAACUUGCUACAUGAUUUGUUGGGUGAACUGGAUUAAUAUAUUUGGUGCUGUAGAAUUGUGCUCAUACAUUACUAUUUCCUGUGUACUGUGAUUUUAUAUGUACAUUACAUUUCUACACUUGUAAUUCUCUAUUUUACUCUGUGUCAUUGCGCCUUACCGUUACUUGUCAUAUUUUAUGUACCCUUGAUCCUUAGUUGAUCUGGCAUGUGAAUUAUCAGUAUUGUAUAAAAUUG
rnacentral:misc_RNA from 1 species